CCUACGGGAUGCAGCAGUGGGGAAUAUUGGACAAUGGGCGAAAGCCUGAUCCAGCCAUGCCGCGUGUGUGAAGAAGGCCUUCGGGUUGUAAAGCACUUUCAGUGGGGAAGAAAGCCUUGGGGCUAAUACCCUCGAGGAAGGACAUCACCCACAGAAGAAGCACCGGCUAACUCCGUGCCAGCAGCCGCGGUAAUACGGAGGGUGCGAGCGUUAAUCGGAAUUACUGGGCGUAAAGCGCGCGUAGGCGGUCUGAUAAGCCGGUUGUGAAAGCCCCGGGCUCAACCUGGGAACGGCAUCCGGAACUGUCAGGCUAGAGUGCAGGAGAGGAAGGUAGAAUUCCCGGUGUAGCGGUGAAAUGCGUAGAGAUCGGGAGGAAUACCAGAGGCGAAGGCGGCCUUCUGGACUGACACUGACGCUGAGGUGCGAAAGCGUGGGUAGCAAACAGGAUUAGAUACCCCAGUAGUC
rnacentral:rRNA from 1 species